rnacentral:rRNA from 1 species
GGUAGUCCACGUCGUAAACGAUGUCGACUUGGAGGUUGUUCCCUUGAGGAGUGGCUUCCGGAGCUAACGCGUUAAGUCGACCGCCUGGGGAGUACGGCCGCAAGGUUAAAACUCAAAUGAAUUGACGGGGGCCCGCACAAGCGGUGGAGCAUGUGGUUUAAUUCGAUGCAACGCGAAGAACCUUACCUACUCUUGACAUCCAGAGAACUUAGCAGAGAUGCUUUGGUGCCUUCGGGAACUCUGAGACAGGUGCUGCAUGGCUGUCGUCAGCUCGUGUUGUGAAAUGUUGGGUUAAGUCCCGCAACGAGCGCAACCCUUAUCCUUUGUUGCCAGCGGUUAGGCCGGGAACUCAAAGGAGACUGCCAGUGAUAAACUGGAGGAAGGUGGGGAUGACGUCAAGUCAUCAUGGCCCUUACGAGUAGGGCUACACACGUGCUACAAUGGCGCAUACAAAGAGAAGCGACCUCGCGAGAGCAAGCGGACCUCAUAAAGUGCGUCGUAGUCCGGAUUGGAGUCUGCAACUCGACUCCAUGAAGUCGGAAUCGCUAGUAAUCGUAGAUCAGAAUGCUACGGUGAAUACGUUCCCGGGCCUUGUACACACCGCCCGUCACACCAUGGGGAGUGGGUUGCAAAAGAAGUAGGUAGCUUAACCUUCGGGAGGGCGCUUACCACUUUGUGAUUCAUGACUGGGG